rnacentral:rRNA from 1 species
UUGCCUCAGUAACGGCGAGUGAAGCGGCAAGAGCUCAAAUUUGAAAUCUGGCCCCUCCGGGGUCCGAGUUGUAAUUUGGAGAGGAUGCUUCGGGCUCGGUCCCCAUCUAAGUGCCCCUGGAACGGGCUGUCAUAGAGGGUGAGAAUCCCGUAUGGGAUGGGCGGCCGUGCCCGUGUGAAGCUCCUUCGACGAGUCGAGUUGUUUGGGAAUGCAGCUCUAAGCGGGUGGUAAAUUUCAUCUAAAGCUAAAUACUGGCCGGAGACCGAUAGCGCACAAGUAGAGUGAUCGAAAGAUGAAAAGCACUUUGAAAAGAGAGUUAAACAGCACGUGAAAUUGUUGAAAGGGAAGCGUUGGCCACCAGACGCGCCCGGGGGGGCUCAGCCGGCACGUGUGCCGGUGUACUCCCCCCCCGGACGGGUCAGCAUCGGUUUGGGCGGUCGCUGAAAGGCUCUGGGAAUGUAGCACCCUCCGGGGUGCCUUAUAGCCCAGGGUGUCAUGCGGCCCGCCUGGACCGAGGUUCGCGCUUCGGCGAGGAUGCUGGCGUAAUGGUGGUCAACGGCCCGUCUUGAAACACGGACCAAGGAGUCUAACAUCUAUGCGAGUGUUCGGGUGUCAAACCCGUCCGCGCAGUGAAAGCGAACGCAGGUGGGAACCCCUUCCCGGGGCGCACCAUCGACCGAUCCUGAUGUCUUCGGAUGGAUUUGAGUAAGAGCAUAGCUGUUGGGACCCGAAAGAUGGUGAACUAUGCCUGAAUAGGGCGAAGCCAGAGGAAACUCUGGUGGAGGCUCGCAGCGGUUCUGACGUGCAAAUCGAUCGUCAAAUUUGGGUAUAGGGGCGAAAGACUAAUCGAACCAUCUGGUAGCUGGUUCCUGCCGAAGUUUCCCUCAGGAUAGCAGUAACGACAUCAGUUUUAUGAGGUAAAGCGAAUGAUUAGAGGCCUUGGGGUUGAAACAACCUUAACCUAUUCUCAAACUUUAAAUAUGUAAGAAGCCCUUGUUGCUUAGUUGAACGUGG